rnacentral:rRNA from 1 species
AAAUUGAAGAGUUUGAUCAUGGCUCAGAUUGAACGCUGGCGGCAGGCCUAACACAUGCAAGUCGAACGGUAACAGGAAACAGCUUGCUGUUUCGCUGACGAGUGGCGGACGGGUGAGUAAUGUCUGGGAAACUGCCUGAUGGAGGGGGAUAACUACUGGAAACGGUAGCUAAUACCGCAUAACGUCGCAAGACCAAAGAGGGGGACCCUCGGGCCUCUUGCCAUCGGAUGUGCCCAGAUGGGAUUAGCU